GAAAAGACAGGAGAUUCCAGUCCUUCUGCAGAGGCUUUCUCCAAGCCCCCAGUACACUCAGCACCUCCCCCAGCCCUUGGUGGCUGGGGACCUGGCCUGGCUCUUGGGCAGCUGCUGGCAGCAAGGAGCAGAGACAUUUAGCCUUCAGCGGGGCCCGGGGCCAGACUUCGACCAAGAGGACAUCAGAGGACAUAGCCUCAGAGAGACCAAGCCCCAGACAGCCUGAGACAGACCAACUGAAACACAGCGCCAGGCCCGUGGAAGGAGAAAAGGAAAUGGAGGAUGAGAAUAAGCAGAAAAAAGGGAAGAAUUAAAGAAAAGAAGGAAAGCAAGAGGAAAAGAGAUAGGAGAGCAGGGAAAGGAAGGCAUGCAGAGACCAAGGAGGAGGAAGGGCAGCAAUACGCAGGAAGGACGCAACGGGGCAGGGCUUGAGCUGGUGCUGGCGGAGCAGAGCAGCCGUGGCAUUGUGCAGUCUGCUUGCUUGCUGGGCCUUUGCCGAGGGACCAGCUCUGGGGCGCGGCAGCCACUUCUGUCUGGACACAAAGGAGGAAGAGGCCUCCUUUCCUGUCCCUCUUGGGGACCUGGCUCUGCACUCCUGGGGAACCUGAGGGACCUGAGGCGCUGGGAGUCCCUGUUGGGAGGCGGGGAAACUCCAGCUCUGGCUAGCAGCUCUGUACUGCUCUGCUUCUUAGCGGUCCCCUCCCACGCCCAGAGGAUUUCACUGGGCACCGGAGAGUCCGCUAAGGGGGAGUGGCACCUUUCCUGCAUCACCUCAAACCUGGACAGCUGAGACCACAAUCAAGCUAGCAUCGCGGGAAGGACAGACAGAAAGACAGGAAAUUUGCAGUGACUUUGGAGCCCAGACUGAGGAAGCCGAGGUGGCGAAAGGAGAGACAAUACGGUCCCGAAGUACAAUUAAGGAGCCAGAGCUGCUCCUCUCUCCCCCGCCCUCCUUGCCAGACUGCGAGCUGUCUGGUCUCCAACCUCUGGGCGACUCGCGAACCUGGAGCCAGAAACUCAGCCCGAGGCGGAGGGCGCCAGAGGACUCCGCACCCAGAAAACCAGGAGGGAAGCUGCCUUCCAACCUGGGGGGCACCGUAACCAGCCCCGCUGAGAUGCAGCGAAUCCAAUGAAUGAAUGUGCACAUUCCGACGACGAAUUUUCCCGAAUUUUCUCAGCCUUUGGAAGGAGAGCCCAGGGUUUGGGACAUCUCAGACAGACAGUCAGACAGACAGGCAAACCGCAUCUCCUGAGGCAGACAGGCUCACAACAUGAGUGUGAGCCUGAAAUCAUAUACAGGUUCAACAUUCCCGAGGCCUCUUUGCCCGGCCUGGCGGGCGCCGAUCUCUCCUACCUUCACUCCUGCCAGGGCCUCAGGCAGAGACCCAUAGGACUCGGUCCCGCUGGC
rnacentral:lncRNA from 1 species